rnacentral:rRNA from 1 species
UGCGAAGGGGGCUAGCGUUGCUCGGAAUCACUGGGCGUAAAGCGCACGUAGGCGGCUUUUUAAGUCAGGGGUGAAAUCCUGGAGCUCAACUCCAGAACUGCCUUUGAUACUGAGAAGCUUGAGUCCGGGAGAGGUGAGUGGAACUGCGAGUGUAGAGGUGAAAUUCGUAGAUAUUCGCAAGAACACCAGUGGCGAAGGCGGCUCACUGGCCCGGUACUGACGCUGAGGUGCGAAAGCGUGGGGAGCAAACGGG